CGGGUAGUGGCUCAGCUUGGUAGAGCGCACGGUUCGGGACCGUGAGGUCGUGGGUUCAAAUCCCGCCUACCCGA
rnacentral:tRNA from 1 species